rnacentral:rRNA from 1 species
AUUGAACGCUGGCGGCAUGCUUUACACAUGCAAGUCGAACGGUAACAGGCCGCCAGGUGCUGACGAGUGGCGAACGGGUGAGUAAUGCAUCGGAACGUGCCCAGUCGUGGGGGAUAACUACUCGAAAGAGUAGCUAAUACCGCAUACGAUCUAUGGAUGACAGCGGGGGACCGUAAGGCCUCGCGCGAUUGGAGCGGCCGAUGUCAGAUUAGGUAGUUGGUGGGGUAAAGGCUCACCAAGCCAACGAUCUGUAGCUGGUCUGAGAGGACGACCAGCCACACUGGGACUGAGACACGGCCCAGACUCCUACGGGAGGCAGCAGUGGGGAAUUUUGGACAAUGGGCGCAAGCCUGAUCCAGCAAUGCCGCGUGCAGGAAGAAGGCCUUCGGGUUGUAAACUGCUUUUGUACGGAACGAAACGGCUCUGGUUAAUACCCGGGGCUAAUGACGGUACCGUAAGAAUAAGCACCGGCUAACUACGUG